GCCCUCGUGUGGGGGAUAGCCGGGCUAACGCCCGGGUAAUACCGCAUACGUUCUCGUGGGGGAGUCCCUGCGGGAGGAAAGCUCCGGCGCACGGGGAGGGGUUCGCGGCCUAUCAGCUAGUUGGGGGGGUAACGGCCCACCAAGGCGACGACGGGUAGCUGGUCUGAGAGGAUGGCCAGCCACAUUGGGACUGAGAGACGGCCCAGACUCCUACGGGAGGCAGCAGUGGGGAAUCUUGCGCAAUGGCCGAAAGGCUGACGCAGCGACGCCGCGUGUGGGAGGACGCCUUUCGGGGUGUAAACCACUGUUGCCCGGGACGAACAGCCCUUUUCGAGGGGUCUGACGGUACCGGGUGAGGAAGCACCGGCUAACUCCGUGCCAGCAGCCGCGGUAAUACGGAGGGUGCGAGCGUUGUCCGGAAUCAUUGGGCGUAAAGGGCGCGUAGGUGGCCCGGUCAGCGUGCGGUGAAAGCUCGGGGCUCAACCCCGAGUCGGCCGUGCGAACUGCUGGGCUGGAGCACUGUAGAGGCAGGCGGAAUUCCGGGUGUAGCGGUGGAAUGCGUAGAGAUCCGGAAGAACACCGGUGGCGAAGGCGGCCUGCUGGGCAGUUGCUGACACUGAGGCGCGACAGCGUGGGGAGCAAACAGGAUUAGAUACCCUGGUAGUCCACGCCGUAAACGAUGGGCACUAGGCGCUUGGGGGAGCGACCCUCCGAGGGCCGGCGCUAACGCAUUAAGUGCCCCGCCUGGGGAGUACGGCCGCAAGGCUGAAACUCAAAGGAAUUGACGGA
rnacentral:rRNA from 1 species